GCCGAGGUGGUGAAAUUGGGAAACACAAUAGCUUUAGGAGCUAUCGCCGCAAGGCUUGCGGGUUCAACUCCCGCCCUCGGCA
rnacentral:tRNA from 1 species